rnacentral:rRNA from 1 species
UGUGUAAACCAAUUUAAUUUGAAUUGAAUAAUUUAUUUUUUUAUAUAUUAAUUAUUAUUUUUAAUAAAAAUAUUUUUUUUUUUUUUUAUUAAUUUAGAUAAAAAUUUUAUAAUUAUAGUGCAUUAGUAUAGUGAUAGAAUAUUGAAAUAAUUGAAAUAUUAAAAUUUUUAAAAGAAAACUUUGUUUGUUGUACCUUGUGUAUCAGGGUUUAUUAAAUAAAAUUUAUGUAUUUUAAUUUUCUCGAAUUUAAAAGAGCUAAGAAACUAUAAAUUUUAUUGUGGCAUAAAUAUUUAAAAUAGUUUUUUAGUAAUGAAACGUUAUUCGUUUUUAAAUUUAUCUAGUUUUUUAAGAAAUAAAUUUAAUUUAGUUAGUUAUUGGUUAAUUUGGGAUAAUUUAUUAUUUGGAAUUAAUAUAAUUAAUUAAUAUUUUAAGGGAUAAGCUUUAAAAUAAAGAUUUUAUAAAUAUAAAUUUUAAUUUUAAAAUUAAUAGAAUUGGAAGUAUUUUUUUAUUUUAGUGUGUUAUAACAAAUUUUAUUAAAAUUAAGAUUUAUAUAUUAUUUUAAAUAUUUUAUUAAAAUUAUUAAUUUAAUUUUAUAAUUAAUGUAAUAAUGAUAAAAUUAGUAUAAUUUUAUGUGAAUUUAAUUUGAUUUUUUUAGGUUAAGUUAAGGAACUCGGCAAAUAAUUUUUUCGCCUGUUUAUUAAAAACAUGUCUUUUUGAUUAUAAUUUAAAGUCUGACCUGCCCUAUGAUAAGAAUUUAUUAAAUGGCCGCGAUAAUUUGAUCGUGCAAAGGUAGCAUAAUAAUUAGUUUUUUAAUUGAGAACUGGUAUGAAAGGUCGAACGAGAAAAAGACUGUCUCAAUUUAAAUUUAUUAGAAUUUUAUUUUUAAGUAAGAAAGCUUAAAUUUAUUUAAAAGACGAGAAGACCCUAUAGAGUUUUAUAUUUAAUAAAAUUUUUAAAAUUUAAGAAUUUUAUAUUUAAUUUUUUUGUUAAAUAUUUGGUUGGGGCGAUUAGAAAAUUGAAUAAACUUUUCUUUAUUUUUUACAUUGAUAUAUGAUUAAUUGAUCCAUUUAUUAUGAUUAAAAGAUUAAAUUACCUUAGGGAUAACAGCGUAAUUUUUUUUGAGAGUUCAUAUCGAAAAAAAAGUUUGCGACCUCGAUGUUGGAUUAAAAUUAACGUUUGGUGUAGAAGCUAAAUUUGUUAGGUCUGUUCGACCUUUAAAAUUUUACAUGAUCUGAGUUUAAACCGGUGUAAGCCAGGUUGGUUUCUAUCUUUAAAAAUAUAAAAUAUUUUAGUACGAAAGGAUCAAGUAUUUGUAAUAAUUAUUAUAUUUAGAAUAUCAUUAUUACUUUGGCAGAAUAGUGUUUUAAAUUUAGAAUU